UUGAACGCUGGCGGCAUGCCUUACACAUGCAAGUCGAACGGCAGCACGGGUGCUUGCACCUGGUGGCGAGUGGCGAACGGGUGAGUAAUACAUCGGAACAUGUCCUGUAGUGGGGGAUAGCCCGGCGAAAGCCGGAUUAAUACCGCAUACGAUCUACGGAUGAAAGCGGGGGACCUUCGGGCCUCGCGCUAUAGGGUUGGCCGAUGGCUGAUUAGCUAGUUGGUGGGGUAAAGGCCUACCAAGGCGACGAUCAGUAGCUGGUAUGAGAGGACGACCAGCCAAAAGGGAAGGGAGAAAGGGAAAAGAGUGCGAGGAGAGGAAGGAGUGGGGAAUAGUGGACAAGGGGGGAAAGCAGGAUAGAGGAAAGCGGGGUGGAAGAAGAAGGGCAGCGGGUAGGAAAGAAUGGAUGGAAGGAAAGAAAAGAGGGAGAAAAAAAGGGACGGGGGAUGACGGUAACGGAAAAAGAAGAACCGGAUAACUAAGUG
rnacentral:rRNA from 1 species